rnacentral:rRNA from 1 species
AGUGAACGCUGGCGGUAGGCCUAACACAUGCAAGUCGAACGGCAGCACAGUAAGAGCUUGCUCUUACGGGUGGCGAGUGGCGGACGGGUGAGGAAUACAUCGGAAUCUACUUUUUCGUGGGGGAUAACGUAGGGAAACUCACGCUAAUACCGCAUACGACCUACGGGUGAAAGCAGGGGAUCUUCGGACCUUGCGCGAUUGAAUGAGCCGAUGUCGGAUUAGCUAGUUGGCGGGGUAAAGGCCCACCAAGGCGACGAUCCGUAGCUGGUCUGAGAGGAUGAUCAGCCACACUGGAACUGAGACACGGUCCAGACUCCUACGGGAGGCAGCAGUGGGGAAUAUUGGACAAUGGGCGCAAGCCUGAUCCAGCCAUACCGCGUGGGUGAAGAAGGCCUUCGGGUUGUAAAGCCCUUUUGUUGGGAAAGAAAAGCAGCAGGUUAAUACCCCGCUGUUCUGACGGUACCCUAAGAAUAAGCACCGGCUAACUUCGUG